GGAAUUUUCCGCAAUGGGCGAAAGCCUGACGGAGCAACGCCGCGUGAGGGAUGAAGGCCUCUGGGCUGUAAACCUCUUUUCUCAAGGAAGAAGAUCUGACGGUACUUGAGGAAUAAGCCACGGCUAAUUCCGUGCCAGCAGCCGCGGUAAUACGGGAGUGGCAAGCGUUAUCCGGAAUUAUUGGGCGUAAAGCGUCCGCAGGCGGCCUUGUAAGUCUGUCGUUAAAGCGUGGAGCUUAACUCCAUUUGGGCGAUGGAAACUACAAGGCUUGAGUGUGGUAGGGGCAGAGGGAAUUCCCGGUGUAGCGGUGAAAUGCGUAGAUAUCGGGAAGAACACCAGUGGCGAAGGCGCUCUGCUGGGCCAUAACUGACGCUCAUGGACGAAAGCCAGGGGAGCGAAAGGGAUUAGAUACCCCUGUAGUCCUGGCCGUAAACGAUGAACACUAGGUGUCGGGGGAAUCGACCCCCUCGGUGUCGUAGCCAACGCGUUAAGUGUUCCGCCUGGGGAGUACGCACGCAAGUGUGAAACUCAAAUGAAUUGACGG
rnacentral:rRNA from 1 species